rnacentral:rRNA from 1 species
CGGCCAUGUAAGUUCUCUGUGAAAUCCGGCCGCUCAACGGUCGGGCGUGCAGGGAAUACUGCGUGGCUUGGGGCCGGAGGGCGUCGAGGCUAUUCCCGGGGUAGGAGUGAAAUCCUAAAAUCCUGGGAGGAGCACCGGUGGCGAAAGCGCUCGGCGACGACGGACCCGACGGUGAGGGACGAAAGCCAGGGGAGCAAAAGGGAUUAGAUACCCCCGUAGUCCUGGCCGUAAACAUUGCCCGCUUGAUGUCGCGCAUCCUCCGAGGACGCGCGGUGCCAAAGCGAAAGCGUUAAGCGGGCCGCCUGGGGA